UACGUAGGGCGCAAGCGUUGUCCGGAAUUACUGGGCGUAAAGAGCUCGUAGGCGGCUUGUCACGUCGGAUGUGAAAGCCCGAGGCUUAACCUCGGGUCUGCAUUCGAUACGGGCUAGCUAGAGUGUGGUAGGGGAGAUCGGAAUUCCUGGUGUAGCGGUGAAAUGCGCAGAUAUCAGGAGGAACACCGGUGGCGAAGGCGGCUCUCUGGUACGUGACUGACGCUGAGACGCGAAAGCGUGGGGAGCAAACAGG
rnacentral:rRNA from 1 species